CCCUUAGAUGUUCUGGGCCGCACGCGCGCUACACUGAACAGUUCAACAAGUCUUAACCUUGGCCGAUAGGUCUGGGUAAUCUUUGAACGCUGUUCGUGAUUGGGAUAGACCUUUGCAAUUAUGGGUCUUCAACGAGGAAUUCCUAGUAAACGCAAGUCAUCAGCUUGCAUUGAUUACGUCCCUGCCCUUUGUACACACCGCCCGUCGCACCUACCGAUCGAAGGUAAUGAUGAGCCCUCAGGAUUGUGGCCUCGUCGCGUCAGCGUCUUGGCUGCGAGAAUCUGUGCAAAUCCCUACCUUUAGAGGAAGGUGAAGUCGUANCA
rnacentral:rRNA from 1 species